GAUGAACGCUCGCUACAGGCUUAACACAUGCAAGUCGAGGGGCAGCAUGGUCUUAGCUUGCUAAGGCCGAUGGCGACCGGCGCACGGGUGAGUAACACGUAUCCAACCUGCCGUCUACUCUUGGACAGCCUUCUGAAAGGAAGAUUAAUACAAGAUGGCAUCAUGAGUCCGCAUGUUCACAUGAUUAAAGGUAUUCCGGUAGACGAUGGGGAUGCGUUCCAUUAGAUAGUAGGCGGGGUAACGGCCCACCUAGUCUUCGAUGGAUAGGGGUUCUGAGAGGAAGGUCCCCCACAUUGGAACUGAGACACGGUCCAAACUCCUACGGGAGGCAGCAGUGAGGAAUAUUGGUCAAUGGGCGCAGGCCUGAACCAGCCAAGUAGCGUGAAGGAUGACUGCCCUAUGGGUUGUAAACUUCUUUUAUAAAGGAAUAAAGUCGGGUAUGGAUACCCGUUUGCAUGUACUUUAUGAAUAAGGAGCGGCUAACUCCGUG
rnacentral:rRNA from 1 species